rnacentral:rRNA from 1 species
CCUACGGGAGGCAGCAGUGAGGAAUAUUGGUCAAUGGACGAGAGUCUGAACCAGCCAAGUAGCGUGAAGGAUGACUGCCCUAUGGGUUGUAAACUUCUUUUAUAUGGGAAUAAAAUGUUCCACGUGUGGGAUUUUGUAUGUACCAUAUGAAUAAGGAUCGGCUACCUCCGUGCCAGCAGCCGCGGUAAUACGGAGGAUCCGAGCGUUAUCCGGAUUUAUUGGGUUUAAAGGGAGCGUAGGUGGAUUGUUAAGUCAGUUGUGAAAGUUUGCGGCUCAACCGUAAAAUUGCAGUUGAAACUGGCAGUCUUGAGUACAGUAGAGGUGGGCGGAAUGCGUGGUGUAGCGGUGAAAUGCUUAGAUAUCACGAAGAACUCCGAUUGCGAAGGCAGUUCACUGGACUGCAACUGACACUGAGGCUCGAAAGUGUGGGUAUCAAACAGGAUUAGAUACCCUAGUAGUC